rnacentral:rRNA from 1 species
UACGGAGGGUGCAAGCGUUGUUCGGAAUUACUGGGCGUAAAGGGCGUGUAGGUGGUUGACUAAGUCAGGUGUGAAAGCCCUCAGCGCAACUGAGGAAGCGCAUCUGAAACUGGUUAACUUGAGUACGGGAGAGGAGAGUGGAAUUCCUGGUGUAGAGGUGAAAUUCGUAGAUAUCAGGAGGAACAUCGGUGGCGACGGCGACUCGCUGGACCGAUGCUGACGCUGAGUCCCGCAAGCGUGGGGAGCAAUCCGG